GCACUGGGUGGAUGAGUGGCGAACGGGAGAGUAACACGUGAGUAACCUGCCCCGAACUCUGGGAUAAGCGCUGGAAACGGCGUCUAAUACUGGAUAUGUCCCAUCACCGCAUGGUGUGUGGGUGGAAAGAUUUAUCGGUUCGGGAUGGACUCGCGGCCUAUCAGCUUGAUGGUGAGGUAAUGGCUCACCAUGGCGACGACGGGUAGCCGGCCUGAGAGGGUGACCGGCCACACUGGGACUGAGACACGGCCCAGACUCCUACGGGAGGCAGCAGUGGGGAAUAUUGCACAAUGGGCGCAAGCCUGAUGCAGCAACGCCGCGUGAGGGAUGACGGCCUUCGGGUUGUAAACCUCUUUUGUCAGGGAAGAAGCGCAAGUGACGGUACCUGGAGAAAAAGCACCGGCUAACUACGUGCCAGCAGCCGCGGUAAUACGUAGGGUGCAAGCGUUGUCCGGAAUUAUUGGGCGUAAAGAGCUCGUAGGCGGCUUGUCGCGUCUGCUGUGAAAACCCGAGGCUCAACCUCGGGCCUGCAGUGGGUACGGGCAGGCUAGAGUGCGGUAGGGGAGAUUGGAAUUCCUGGUGUAGCGGUGGAAUGCGCAGAUAUCAGGAGGAACACCGAUGGCGAAGGCAGAUCUCUGGGCCGUAACUGACGCUGAGGAGCGAAAGCAUGGGGAGCGAACAGGAUUAGAUACCCUGGUA
rnacentral:rRNA from 1 species